CCUACGGGAGGCAGCAGUGAGGAAUAUUGCACAAUGGGCGAAAGCCUGAUGCAGCAACGCCGCGUGAGCGAUGAAGGCCUUUGGGUCGUAAAGCUCUGUCCUUGGGGAAGAAACAAAUGACGGUACCCUUGGAGGAAGCCCCGGCUAACUACGUGCCAGCAGCCGCGGUAAUACGUAGGGGGCGAGCGUUAUCCGGAAUUAUUGGGCGUAAAGAGUGCGUAGGUGGUCUUGUAAGCGUGGGGUGAAAGGCAGUGGCUUAACCAUUGUUAGCCUUGCGAACUGUGAGACUUGAGUGCAGGAGAGGAAAGUGGAAUUCCUAGUGUAGCGGUGAAAUGCGUAGAUAUUAGGAGGAACACCAGUGGCGAAGGCGACUUUCUGGACUGUAACUGACACUGAGGCACGAAAGCGUGGGGAGCAAACAGGAUUAGAUACCCUGGUAGUCCACGCCGUAAACGAUGAACACUAGGUGUCGGGGUUUAAAGACUUCGGUGCCGCAGUUAACGCAUUAAGUGUUCCGCCUGGGGAGUACGCACGCAAGUGUGAAACUCAAAUGAAUUGACGGGGA
rnacentral:rRNA from 1 species